AAAUUGAAGAGUUUGAUCAUGGCUCAGAUUGAACGCUGGCGGCAGGCCUAACACAUGCAAGUCGAACGGUAACAGGAAGCAGCUUGCUGCUUUGCUGACGAGUGGCGGACGGGUGAGUAAUGUCUGGGAAACUGCCUGAUGGAGGGGGAUAACUACUGGAAACGGUGGCUAAUACCGCAUAACGUCGCAAGACCAAAGAGGGGGACCUUCGGGCCUCUUGCCAUCAGAUGUGCCCAGAUGGGAUUAGCUUGUUGGUGAGGUAACGGCUCACCAA
rnacentral:rRNA from 4 species